ACCAGCAACUUGGAUGAAUGAAUAUCUAUAUAAUUAGAUAAAAAAAACUUUGUUUUAUGAAAUUCUAGGUAGAAUGAAAGGACAUUUUAUUACCUAUAUGUCUUGACCAAGUCACGUGCCAGCAGUCGCGGUAAUACGUGGAAGACUAGUGUUAUUCAUCUUAAAUAGGUUUAAAGGGUACCUAGACGGUUGGUAAAAAUCUACUAUUAAAAAGUAAAGAGGAAUUGCUGACUAGAGUGUAAUGUAAGAAUUUAGUAUGCUGAGUGUAGAGAUAAAAUUUUUUGAUACCAUUUAAGACUGGCAAAGGCGAAGGCAAUUUUUUAUGUAAACACUGACGUUGAGGGACGAAGGCUUCGAUUAACGAAAAGGAUUAGAUACCCUAGUAGUGGAGGCAGACAAUGAUGAGUGUCAUACGUAAGUAUAAUAUUUAUGUAUAAAUGAAAGUGUAAACACUCCACCUCAAGAGUAAUACGGCAACGUAUAAACUGAAAUCACUAGACCGUUUCUGACACCAGCAGUGAAGUAUGUUGUUUAAUUUGAUGAUCCACGGAAAACCUUACCACAAUUUGAAUAAUUAUAUAUACAUAUAAUUACAGGCGUUGCACGGCUGUUUUUAGUUGAUGUCGUGAGAUUUUGGUUAAUUCCAUUAAAUUAACGUAAACCCUUAUUUUAUUUUUUAUAAAAUAGCUCAAAUCGCUAUAUUGAUUUGAUAACAGGGACUAAUGCAAGUCAUCAUGACUCUAACAUUGUGGGCU
rnacentral:rRNA from 1 species